GUGGGGAAUAUUGGUCAAUGGGCGGGAGCCUGAACCAGCCAAGUCGCGUGAAGGAAGAAGGAUCUAUGGUUCGUAAACUUCUUUUGCAGGGGAAUAAAGUGCAGGACGUGUCCUGUUUUGUAUGUACCCUGAGAAUAAGGAUCGGCUAACUCCGUGCCAGCAGCCGCGGUAAUACGGAGGAUCCGAGCGUUAUCCGGAUUUAUUGGGUUUAAAGGGUGCGUAGGUGGUUUGAUAAGUCAGCGGUGAAAGUUUGCAGCUUAACUGUAAAAAUGCCGUUGAAACUGUCGGACUUGAGUGUAAAUGAGGUAGGCGGAAUGCGUGGUGUAGCGGUGAAAUGCAUAGAUAUCACGCAGAACUCCGAUUGCGAAGGCAGCUUACUAAGCUACAACUGACACUGAAGCACGAAAGCGUGGGGAUCAAACAGGAUUAGAAACCCCAGUAGUCC
rnacentral:rRNA from 1 species